AACGAACGCUGGCGGCGUGCUUAACACAUGCAAGUCGAACGAGAAAGAGUUCUUCGGAACUUGAGUAAAGUGGCGCACGGGUGAGUAACGCGUAGAUAACCUGCCCUGAUGUCUGGGAUAACCCUUCGAAAGGGGGACUAAUACCGGAUAAUCCGGGUAACCAUAAGGUUACCCGGGAAAGAUGGCCUCUGAUUUAAGCUAUCGCAUUUGGAGGGGUCUGCGUACCAUUAGCUUGUUGGUGGGGUAAUGGCCUACCAAGGCGACGAUGGUUAGCGGGUCUGAGAGGAUGAUCCGUCACACUGGCACUGAAACACGGGCCAGACUCCUACGGGAGGCAGCAGUGAGGAAUAUUGCGCAAUGGGGGAAACCCUGACGCAGCGACGCCGCGUGAGUGAGGAAGGCCUUCGGGUCGUAAAGCUCUGUCAGAAGGGAAGAGGUGUGCAUCGGUUAAUACCCGUUGCAUUUGACGGUACCUUCAAAGGAAGCACCGGCUAACUCCGUGCCAGCAGCCGCGGUAAUACGGAGGGUGCAAGCGUUGUUCGGAAUCACUGGGCGUAAAGGGCGCGCAGGCGGUUUGAUUAGUCAGAUGUGAAAGCCCACGGCUUAACCGUGGAAGUGCAUUUGAAACUGUCAGACUUGAGUAUCAGAGGGGAAAGUGGAAUUCCCGGUGUAGAGGUGAAAUUCGUAGAUAUCGGGAGGAAUACCGGUGGCGAAGGCGACUUUCUGGCUGAAUACUGACGCUGAGGCGCGAAAGCGUGGGGAGCAAACAGGAUUAGAUACCCUGGUAGUCCACGCCGUAAACGAUGUCAACUAGGUGUAGGGGGUGUUGAUCCCCUCUGUGCCGCAGCUAACGCAUUAAGUUGACCGCCUGGGGAGUACGGUCGCAAGAUUAAAACUCAAAGGAAUUGACGG
rnacentral:rRNA from 1 species